CGGAAUCGCUAGUAAUCGUGAAUCAGAAUGUCACGGUGAAUACGUUCCCGGGCCUUGUACACACCGCCCGUCACACCAUGGGAUGGGUUGCUCCAGAAGUAGCGUAGUCUAACCGCAAGGGGGACGGUUACCACGGAGUGAUUCAUGACUGGGGUGAAGUCGUAACAAGGUAGCCGUAGGGGAACCUGCGGCUGGAUCACUCCUUAA
rnacentral:rRNA from 1 species